rnacentral:rRNA from 1 species
CAGCCGCCGCGUAAUACGAAGGGUGCAAGCGUUAAUCGGAAUUACUGGGCGUAAAGCGCGCGUAGGUGGUUUGGUAAGAUGGAUGUGAAAUCCCCGGGCUCAACCUGGGAACUGCAUCCAUAACUGCCUGACUAGAGUACGGUAGAGGGUGGUGGAAUUUCCUGUGUAGCGGUGAAAUGCGUAGAUAUAGGAAGGAACACCAGUGGCGAAGGCGACCACCUGGACUGAUACUGACACUGAGGUGCGAAAGCGUGGGGAGCAAACAGGAUUAGAUACCCGGGUAGUCCCUGUCUCUUAUACA